GAUGAAGAACGUAGCGAAAUGCGAUAAGUAAUGUGAAUUGCAGAAUUCAGUGAAUCAUCGAAUCUUUGAACGCACAUUGCGCCCCCUGGUAUUCCGGGGGGCAUGCCUGUUCGAGCGUCAUUUCACCACUCAAGCCUCGCUUGGUAUUGGGCAACGCGGUCCGCCGCGUGCCUCAAAUCGACCGGCUGGGUCUUCUGUCCCCUAAGCGUUGUGGAAACUAUUCGCUAAAGGGUGUUCGGGAGGCUACGCCGUAAAACAACACCAUUUCUAAGGUUGACCUCGGAUCAGGUAGGGAUACCCGCUGAACUUAAGCAUAUCAAUAAGCGGAGGA
rnacentral:misc_RNA from 1 species